rnacentral:rRNA from 1 species
GACGAACGCUGGCGGCGUGCCUAAUACAUGCAAGUAGAACGCUGAAGGAGGAGCUUGCUUCUCCGGAUGAGUUGCGAACGGGUGAGUAACGCGUAGGUAACCUGCCUGGUAGCGGGGGAUAACUAUUGGAAACGAUAGCUAAUACCGCAUAAGAGUAGAUGUUGCAUGACAUUUGCUUAAAAGGUGCAAUUGCAUCACUACCAGAUGGACCUGCGUUGUAUUAGCUAGUUGGUGGGGUAACGGCUUACCAAGGCGACGAUACAUAGCCGACCUGAGAGGGUGAUCGGCCACACUGGGACUGAGACACGGCCCAGACUCCUACGGGAGGCAGCAGUAGGGAAUCUUCGGCAAUGGACGGAAGUCUGACCGAGCAACGCCGCGUGAGUGAAGAAGGUUUUCGGAUCGUAAAGCUCUGUUGUAAGAGAAGAACGAGUGUGAGAGUGGAAAGUUCACACUGUGACGGUAUCUGACCAGAAAGGGACGGCUAACUACGUG